GACCCAGUGGCGGACGGUACCGCGCGCGCAUCGUAUGGAUAAGUACCCACAGUGGUAUAGCAGCGGAGAUCCUGGUUCGACUCCAGGCUGGGUCA